GAAAUGCGAUAAGUAGUGUGAAUUGCAGAAAUCAGUGAAUCAUCGAAUCUUUGAACGCACAUUGCGCCCCUUGGUAUUCCAUGGGGCAUGCCUGUUCGAGCGUCAUUUGUACCCUCAAGCUCUGCUUGGUGUUGGGUGUUUGUCCCGUCUCCGCGCGUGGACUCGCCCCAAAGUGAUUGGCAGCCGGCGUACUGGUCCCGGAGCGCAGCACAUGUCGCGCAAACGAGUGCCUUGGUACGGCGGCGUCCAUAAGCCCCUCUCUCACGCUCUUGACCUCGGAUCAGGUAGGGAUACCCGCUGAACUUAAGC
rnacentral:misc_RNA from 1 species